GGACGGGUGGCCGAGUGGUUAAUGGCACCAGACUGUAAAUCUGGCCGGCAUACCGCCGUACGUUGGUUCGAAUCCAACCCCGUCCACCA
rnacentral:tRNA from 1 species